GUGGUGAAUGUUCCUAAAACCUGCCAGACUUUCUGUACAAAGUGUGGCAAGCGCCAGCUGCACAGAGUGACACAGUACAAGAAAGGCAAGGAUUCUCUGUAUGCACAGGGAAAGUGGCGUUAUGACAGGAAGCAGAGCGCCUAUGGUGGGCAGACUCAGCCAAUUUUCCAGAAAAAGGCUAAAACUACAAAAAAGGCUGUACUGAAGCUUGAAUGUGCUGAGCCCAACUGCAGAAGAUCUAGGAGAAUGCUGACUGUUAAGAGAUGCAAGCAUUUUUGAUCUGGGGGGAGAUAAGAGAAAGGGCCAAUUGAUCCAGUUUUGA
rnacentral:lncRNA from 1 species